GCACUGCUGAUGAGUCCUAGAAAUAGGACGAAACGGCAGUCCAGUGU
rnacentral:hammerhead_ribozyme from 1 species